rnacentral:rRNA from 1 species
UACGUAGGGUGCAAGCGUUGUCCGGAAUUAUUGAGCGUAAAGAGCUCGUAGGCGGUUUGUCGCGUCUGCUGUGAAAACCCGAGGCUCAACCUCGGGCCUGCAGUGGGUACGGGCAGACUAGAGUGCGGUAGGGGAGAUUGGAAUUCCUGGUGUAGCGGUGGAAUGCGCAGAUAUCAGGAGGAACACCAAUGGCGAAGGCAGAUCUCUGGGCCGUAACUGACGCUGAGGAGCGAAAGCUAGGGGAGCAAACGGG